AGAGUUUGAUCCUGGCUCAGGAUGAACGCUAGCGACAGGCUUAACACAUGCAAGUCGAGGGGCAGCGGGGGCGUAGCAAUAUGCCUGCCGGCGACCGGCGCACGGGUGAGUAACACGUAUGUAACCUGCCCUAUGCAGGGGGAUAACCCGGAGAAAUCCGGCCUAAUACCGCGUAACACCUUAGGGGAGCAUUCUCUUGAGGUUAAAGGAGAGAUCCGGCAUAGGAUGGACAUGCGUCGCAUUAGGUAGACGGCGGGGUAACGGCCCACCGUGCCGACGAUGCGUAGGGGUUCUGAGAGGAAGGCCCCCCACACUGGUACUGAGACACGGACCAGACUCCUACGGGAGGCAGCAGUGAGGAAUAUUGGUCAAUGGCCGAGAGGCUGAACCAGCCAAGUCGCGUGAGGGAAGAAUGUCCUAAGGAUUGUAAACCUCUUUUGUCGGGGAGCAAAAAGGCUCUGCGGAGUCGUAUUGAGAGUACCCGAAGAAAAAGCAUCGGCUAACUCCGUGCCAGCAGCCGCGGUAAUACGGAGGAUGCGAGCGUUAUCCGGAUUUAUUGGGUUUAAAGGGUGCGCAGGCGGCGUGUCAAGCAAGCGGUAAAAUAGCGGGGCUCAACCCCGUCGAGCCGUUUGAACUGGCGCGCUUGAGUUCAGGCGAGGUAGGCGGAAUUCGUGGUGUAGCGGUGAAAUGCAUAGAUAUCACGAAGAACUCCGAUUGCGAAGGCAGCUUACCAGUCUGCGACUGACGCUCAGGCACGAAAGUGUGGGUAUCGAACAGGAUUAGAUACCCUGGUAGUCCACACAGUAAACGAUGAGCGCUAGGUGUCCGGGUGGCAUGAGACUUGGGUGCCCGAGCGAAAGCGUUAAGCGCUCCGCCUGGGGAGUACGCCGGCAACGGUGAAACUCAAAGGAAUUGACGGGGGCCCGCACAAGCGGAGGAACAUGUGGUUUAAUUCGAUGAUACGCGAGGAACCUUACCCGGGCUCAAACGACUCAGGAAUAUAUUGGAAACGAUGUAGCCAGCAAUGGUCUGAGUCGAGGUGCUGCAUGGUUGUCGUCAGCUCGUGCCGUGAGGUGUCGGCUUAAGUGCCAUAACGAGCGCAACCCCUACCGCCAGUUGCCAACGGGUAAAGCCGGGAACUCUGGCGGGACUGCCGGCGCAAGCUGCGAGGAAGGCGGGGAUGACGUCAAAUCAGCACGGCCCUUACGUCCGGGGCGACACACGUGUUACAAUGGCAGGUACAGCGGGAAGCCACCUGGUGACAGGGAGCGGAACCCGAAAGCCUGUCUCAGUUCGGAUUGGAGUCUGCAACUCGACUCCAUGAAGCUGGAUUCGCUAGUAAUCGCGCAUCAGCCAUGGCGCGGUGAAAACGUUCCCGGGCCUUGUACUCACCGCCCGUCA
rnacentral:rRNA from 1 species